AUCAACUUUGUUUUGUUUUGUAUUAUUUUGGUGUUUGAGUUUAUGGUUCCUCUCAUAUAGGGUGUUACUACGCCGCUGUGUCCACCCUCACCUUGAGUUUCAGCAGAGACUACUGAUCUAUCUCUCCACAACCCUUUGUUACAAAGGGAACAAUAUCUUCAAUUCAUCAGUAUGUUUAGUUCAUCAGGCAUGGCAGAUGGAUCUGGUAUGUUCAAGGUUCAUCAAACAAUUGGCAGUGUUUUGUGUUGCAAGUGUGGAAUUCCAAUGCAGCCAAAUGCUGCUAAUAUGUGUGUUAAGUGUUUGAGCUCGGAAGUUGACAUUACCGAAGGGUUACUGAAGCGGCUGGUGCUGGUGCAUUGCCCUGAGUGUGAGAGUUACUUGCAGCCACCUAGAAGUUGGGUCAAGCUACAGCUAGAAUCAAAGGAGCUUCUGACAUUUUGCUUGAAGAAAUUGCAGAAAAAUUUUAAUUCUAGUAAAGUGAGGUUGGUACAUGCCGAGUUUAUUUGGACUGAACCCCAUUCCAGGAGGAUAAAGGUGAAGGUCAAGGUUCAGAAAGAGGUUAUCAAUGGAGCAAUUCUUGAACAGUCUUAUACCGUGGAGUAUGUUCAACAAGAGCAUAUGUGUGAAUCCUGUUCUAGGGUUCAGGCCAAUCCUGAUCAGUGGGUUGCUGCUGUGCAACUUAGACAACAUGUUUCUCAUAGGCGUACUUUCUUUUAUCUAGAGCAGCUAAUUCUGAAGCAUGGUGCUGCUGCCAGUGCCAUAAGAAUCAAACAGAUGGAACAAGGUAUUGAUUUCUUCUUCUCCAAUCGAAGUCAUGCAGUUAAAUUUGUGGAGUUUGUUGGGAAAGUUGCUCCUGUAAGAAGCCGCAGUGAUAAGCAGCUAGUUUCCCAUGAUCCAAAGAGCAAUAACUACAACUACAAGUAUACAUUUUCUGUUGAAAUCAGCUCCAUUUGCCGUGAGGAUUUAAUCUGUCUGCCUCCAAAAGUUGCUGUUAGUUUGGGAAAUAUUGGUCCUAUUGUGAUUUGCACCAAGGUUACCAACAGCAUUGCUCUGCUUGAUCCAUUUACCCUGAGGCACUGUUUCUUAGAUGCUGAUCAAUAUUGGAGAACAUCCUUCAAGUCAUUGCUUACUAGCAGACAGUUAGUGGAAUAUAUAGUGCUUGAUGUUGAGGUUGUUUCACCGGAGGUUACUAUUGGUGGCACAAAAUAUUGUUUAGCAGAUGCUCAAGUUGCUCGUGUGUCAGAUUUUGGCAAGAACGACACAAUAUUUAACAUCAAGACUCAUCUGGGUCAUCUUUUGAAUCCUGGGGAUUAUGCUCUUGGUUAUGAUCUUUAUGGGGCUAAUAGUAAUGACAUGGAGUUGGACAAGUACAAAGGGCACAUUCCUGAAGCAAUUUUAGUAAAGAAGAGUUAUGAAGAGAAGCGCCAAAAGAAACGUGGGAAGCCUCGAUCAUGGAAGCUUAAAUCACUUGAAAUGGAGGUUGAUGAUAAUAGGAGACUUGAUCAAGAUAAAAUGGUCUCAGAAUAUGAACAAUUCUUGAAAGAUUUGGAAGAAAACCCUGAUAUGAGGUUCAACAUAUCAUUGUAUCGAAACAAGGAGUACCAGCCAUCAGAAAUGGCAUCCGUGACUGAUGGCGAUGAGCUACCUUCUGUUCCAUUGGAUGAAUUAUUGGCUGAUCUUGAUCUGAGUGAAGAUGAAGAUGGAGAAGACAACAUGGCAGAAUGAACGAAAGCUUUUUCUUAUCUUGAUAUAGUACUUACUUUCUGGAAUCUUUGGUUUUGUUCUUGUAGUGUAUUUGUUUUUUCUUCUCCCAUUUAUGUUUUGUUAAUUUGCAACCCCUGAUGGUUUGUUUAUUGAAAGAAUCAUAAGAUGGUAAUUUUGCAGGCAGUAGUAACAAUACUUACAAAUAGCUUGUUUUAACAUUCUUUUACUA